ensembl:ncRNA hpRNA:1 hairpin RNA 1
CUUGAUCACCUCAUUGUAUAAAUCGUUUCCCUGACAGGUGCCUUCACCGACUCCCGCUAGAACAGAUUAUACACUGCCUAUGGUGUAUACUUUGUGUUAGCGGGUGUCGGAGAAGCCACCAGUCAGGGAACGAUUUAUACAAUGAGAUGGGCAAG